rnacentral:rRNA from 1 species
UACGUAGGGGGCAAGCGUUGUCCGGAUUUAUUGGGCGUGAAGAGCUCGUAGGCGGUUUGGUAAGUCGGAUGUGAAAUCUCCAGGCUCAACCUGGAGGGGUCAUUCGAUACUGCCAUGACUAGAGUUCGGUAGGGGAGUGUGGAAUUCCUGGUGGAGCGGUGAAAUGCGCAGAGAUCAGGAGGAACACCCGUAGCGAAGGCGGCACUCUGGGCCGAUACUGACGCUGAGGAGCGAAAAGCGUGGGGAGCGAACAGG